rnacentral:rRNA from 1 species
UACGUAGGAGGCGAGCGUUGUCCGGAAUUACUGGGCGUAAAGCGUGCGCAGGCGGUUGUGCAAGACAGAUGUGAAAUCCCCGGGCUUAACCUGGGAACUGCAUUUGUGACUGCACGGCUAGAGUGCGGCAGAGGGGGAUGGAAUUCCGCGUGUAGCAGUGAAAUGCGUAGAUAUGCGGAGGAACACCGAUGGCGAAGGCAAUCCCCUGGGCCUGCACUGACGCUCAUGCACGAAAGCGUGGGGAGCAAACAGG